rnacentral:rRNA from 1 species
UACUGUGAAACUGCGAAUGGCUCAUUAAAUCAGUUAUCGUUUAUUUGAUAGUACCUUACUACUUGGAUAACCGUGGUAAUUCUAGAGCUAAUACAUGCUAAAAACCCCGACUUCGGGAGGGGUGUAUUUAUUAGAUAAAAAACCAAUGCCCUUCGGGGCUCCUUGGUGAUUCAUGAUAACUUAACGAAUCGCAUGGCCUUGCGCCGGCGAUGGUUCAUUCAAAUUUCUGCCCUAUCAACUUUCGAUGGUAGGAUAGUGGCCUACCAUGGUAUCAACGGGUAACGGGGAAUUAGGGUUCUAUUCCGGAGAGGGAGCCUGAGAAACGGCUACCACAUCCAAGGAAGGCAGCAGGCGCGCAAAUUACCCAAUCCCGACACGGGGAGGUAGUGACAAUAAAUACUGAUACAGGGCUCUUUCGGGUCUUGUAAUUGGAAUGAGUACAAUUUAAAUACCUUAACGAGGAACAAUUGGAGGGCAAGUCUGGUGCCAGCAGCCGCGGUAAUUCCAGCUCCAAUAGCGUAUAUUAAAGUUGUUGCAGUUAAAAAGCUCGUAGUUGAACCUUGGGCCUGGCUGGCCGGUCCGCCUCACCGCGUGUACUGGUCCGGCCGGGCCUUUCCUUCUGGGGAUCCGCAUGCCCUUCACUGGGUGUGUCGGGGAACCAGGACUUUUACUUUGAAAAAAUUAGAGUGUUCAAAGCAGGCCUUUGCUCGAAUACAUUAGCAUGGAAUAAUAGAAUAGGACGUGCGGUCCUAUUUUGUUGGUUUCUAGGACCGCCGUAAUGAUUAAUAGGGAUAGUCGGGGGCAUCAGUAUUCAAUUGUCAGAGGUGAAAUUCUUGGAUUUAUUGAAGACUAACUACUGCGAAAGCAUUUGCCAAGGAUGUUUUCAUUAAUCAGUGAACGAAAGUUAGGGGAUCGAAGACGAUCAGAUACCGUCGUAGUCUUAACCGUAAACUAUGCCGACUAGGGAUCGGGCGAUGUUAUUCUUUUGACUCGCUCGGCACCUUACG